UACGGAGGGUGCAAGCGUUAGUCGGAAUUACUGGGCGUAAAGGGUGCGUAGGCUGGGAUGUAAGUCAGAUGUGAAAAACCAAAGCUCAACUUUGGCAGUGCAUCUGAAACUGCAAUUCUAGAGGAAUAGCGGAGAAAACGGAAUUCCACGUGUAGCGGUGAAAUGCGUAGAUAUGUGGAAGAACACCUGUGGCGAAAGCGGUUUUCUAGCUUUUUCCUGACGCUGAGGCACGAAAGCAAGGGGAGCAAACAGG
rnacentral:rRNA from 1 species